rnacentral:rRNA from 2 species
UGCAGUCGAGCGGACAGAUGGGAGCUUGCUCCCUGAUGUUAGCGGCGGACGGGCGAGAACACGUGGGUAACCUGCCUGUAAGACUGGGAUAACUCCGGGAAACCGGGGCUAAUACCGGAUGGUUGUUUGAACCGCAUGGUUCAGACAUAAAAGGUGGCUUCGGCUACCACUUACAGAUGGACCCGCGGCGCAUUAGCUAGUUGGUGAGGUAACGGCUCACCAAGGCAACGAUGCGUAGCCGACCUGAGAGGGUGAUCGGCCACACUGGGACUGAGACACGGCCCAGACUCCUACGGGAGGCAGCAGUAGGGAAUCUUCCGCAAUGGACGAAAGUCUGACGGAGCAACGCCGCGUGAGUGAUGAAGGUUUUCGGAUCGUAAAGCUCUGUUGUUAGGGAAGAACAAGUGCCGUUCAAAUAGGGCGGCACCUUGACGGUACCUAACCAGAAAGCCACGGCUAACUACGUGCCAGCAGCCGCGGUAAUACGUAGGUGGCAAGCGUUGUCCGGAAUUAUUGGGCGUAAAGGGCUCGCAGGCGGUUUCUUAAGUCUGAUGUGAAAGCCCCCGGCUCAACCGGGGAGGGUCAUUGGAAACUGGGGAACUUGAGUGCAGAAGAGGAGAGUGGAAUUCCACGUGUAGCGGUGAAAUGCGUAGAGAUGUGGAGGAACACCAGUGGCGAAGGCGACUCUCUGGUCUGUAACUGACGCUGAGGAGCGAAAGCGUG